GUGUCUUUAAGACUCACAUGGUCGUAAAGCGUUAUUCAAAACAUUGUCGUAAUUACUCACCAGUGUUUUGCUGCGCCGUAACUGGUCUUUUUACAGCAGUGGUUUUCGGGGCUAUUGGAAAUGAAUGGAUACGCACAGUCACGACCACAUUACGACACCAAUCCCCGGCGUGUUACACCAUUGGCGCAUAUUCUUAAACGCUCCGACCUGACAGGGCCGCAGUGCGUGCUUGGAGCUGUCAGACACCGCAGAGCUGCUGAGAUGGCUUCUUUGUGUGGAGAAACAACGGGGUCCGCUACUCUACAAAG
rnacentral:lncRNA from 1 species